rnacentral:lncRNA from 1 species
CGGGGAGUAGGCGAGCACUGGCCCCAGACACCCACAACACAGCAUCCCACGAAUAUCAUGCGAAAGUGAAAUUAAAAAAAAAUCCCAUUUAUUUUCUGUUGAUGCGAGAUCCCGAUUCUCCUCGUUCUACGACCAGGAUCUCUGCUCGAUCAUCUUCACCACGACCAGGAGGUCUCCUAGUAAUGCUUCUUCUCCAGAUGUCCCUGCAUAAACAGACAAGUCAGAGUACGCCGGUUGUUCCCCCGGCGCAAACCCUCCGACGCUCAAGUCAGAUAUGAAGGUUCAGGGAACGCUUGCCACACGUCUUAUGGCUUUUUCGUGGUUUUUCUCUAAUCUCAAAAAUGCCAACCCUUUUACCUUCGUUGGCUGCCUUUUUAUAGGCUCCCUCUGAAUCUCAGUCUUCCGCUCUUUUCCCCACGGUAUGGGACUCCCACUGCGGCGUUAUGGGCAAACGGGGGAUCUAACGUGUUACGCCACGGUUCAGGGGAAAGCGUGGCUGUCAUGGCUCUGUGAGACUUUGCGUGUUACGCCAAGGUUCUGGGGAAGCGUGGCUGUCAUGGUUCUGUGAGAUCUUGCGUGUUACGCCAAGGUGCUGGGGAAAGCGUGGCUGUCAUGCCUAGAUUCUCGUGCUGGAGAGCACGUCUUGCCAAACGUCUUGCCAGCUGUCGUCGACCGGGUCUCCUCGCCUCUUGGCCUCUAGCCGGAAUGGCCUUUUGCCUUUAAUAGGAAAUUGGCCUCGCGAAUGACAACAUCGUGGACGAGCAGGAUAAUUCUGCUCUUGUUCUUCCGCGCACCAGGCUUUUACGGAACACACCGGUUCGCAGAACUCCGCCAUCAGAUAUCUGCUCGUCAUUCCUGGUCUCAUCGACGUAUUUAUCCCGAACAGUAUCUCUCCCAAACAUUUUCUAUUAAAAAAAAAAUUAAAAACAAAAAUACCAUUGAAAGUUGAAACCAUGACUCCAUGAGUCACGUCACGUUUAUUUAAUUGGAGGGGAACCAAGAAAAUCAGAAUAAAGUCAUAAACAGAAGGGAAUUAGAAUUUUUAUGUUAAAACCCACUAAUCACAAGUCAUUGUCGUAGUUGCUUGAAGAAAAAUUGACAGUCGUAUGCUCACUAAGAAAGCUAGGAAUAGGAUCCUCC